GAAGGCAGGUUUUGCAAGUCCAUCGUCAGACAGGAGAUAAUCAGCCCCCUGAGGCCAGUAGCCAAACACACACACACAAAAAAAAGAAGAAGAAAGUAAUCAGUAAUUGGAUGGAGCAAUCAGGGUUUUACUGUAAAUUGUUCUCCAGUGCGUACGCAUUCCUGGCCAGGUGGAGGUGGGGCAAAUAUUAUGAAGGUGUCAAGUUGAAGGAAGACGGGCAAGAAGUUCAAAAAGCAGCUGUGCAAGGCGAAUUAUAAUUGUACCUGGAGCCACUUAUUCGUCGAUCUCUUAAAGCCAGUUGCAAAAAUAAUAGCAUCAAAUGGGUAAGACUUGCCAUCCUCAAACACCACAUCAUUGCCCCCAAGACUUGCUACUGCCGGCACUACCUGUUUAUUUAUUUAUUUUAUGGUAUCAAAAUUAUAAGAUUUUACAACAUGCAUGCUUCAUACCGAAGGAAUUUCGA
rnacentral:lncRNA from 1 species